rnacentral:tRNA from 1 species
UCCCUGGAGGAAUAGUGGUUAGGCCUUGAAGCUCUCACUGCCAUGCCCCAGGUUCGAUUCCUGGCCAGAGAA